GCCCCAGUGGCUCAGCAUGGUAGAGCACUUCCUUGGUAAGGAAGAGGUCGAGGGUUCAAAUCCCUUCUGGGGCU
rnacentral:tRNA from 1 species